GAUCAGAUACCGCCCUAGUUCUAACCAUAAACUAUGCCAGCCAGCGUUCCGGCUGUGUUCCUCAAAUGACACGCCGGGCAGCUUCCGGGAAACCAAAAGCUUUUGGGUUCCGGGGGAAGUAUGGUUGCAAAGCUGAAACUUAAAGGAAUUGACGGAAGGGCACCACCAGACAUGGAGCCUGCGGCUCAAUUUGACUCAACACGGGAAAAUUUAUCUGGUCCGGACACAGGAAGGAUUGACAGAUUAAGAGCUCUUUCUUGAUUCUGUGGGUUGUGGUGCAUGGCCGUUCUUAGUUGGUGGAGCGAUUUGUCUGGUUAAUUCCGAUAACGAACGAGACUCUAGCCUAUUAAAUAGACGUCCCUAUGUCUUUUACGAAUGGGGCGGUUCUUCUUAGAGGGACAAGCGGCUUUUAGCCGCACGAGACAGAGCAAUAACAGGUCUGAGAUGCCCUUAGAUGUCCGGGGCCGCACGCGCGCUACAUUGAAGGAAUCAGCGUGUGCUUUCCCGGUCCUACUGGAUCGGGUAACCCCUUGAAUCUCCUUCGUGCUGGGGAUAGGGGCUUGUAAUUGUUCCCCUUGAACGAGGAAUGCCCAGUAAGCGCGAGUCAUUAGCUCGUGUUGAUUACGUCCCUGCCCUUUGUACACACCGCCCGUCGCUACUACCGAUUGAUUGUCUUAGUGAGGUCUUCAGACUGGCGCCCGGAUUGGCCUUCUCGGUUAAAACGGC
rnacentral:rRNA from 1 species